AACAAUUGGUGGUCGGUAGGAGAUGCAUCCGAUCAGUCAUUUUUGGGAAUUUUUUGGUCAGCGAUCAAUGCAUCCGAUCUGCAACACUUGGCUAUUUUUGGAGCACUAAAACAAGCUUCAUUCAUCAUUAGUAAUAAAGGAGUACAGAGUUCAAAAUUAUAACUCUUACUGAUGACAUGCUCAGAGGUUAUCAGAGUUUCAUGCCUGAGGUACUAAAGUUCCAUCACGUUGCUUGAAUCGGUAAGUGCCAAGUUGUUGAUGACUUCCUUGAUCCUGUAUGUUCCUUCCUACUUAGCUGCAAGUUUUCUGUGAUCAUCUGUUGAGUCAUCUUGGCUUUUCUAAGGAUGAGAUCCCCUAACGAAAGAGUUUUGCCUUAACUUAGGAGUUGUAGUACCGAGCUACAUGUUGUUGAUAAGUAGCCAUAUGUACUCGAGCUCAUAUUCUUGCUUCUUCCAGUAAGUCCAAGACGACACAGAGAUCCUCAAAAUUUGCCUACCCGUCGUACAACUCUACUCGAUAAGAUGGGAGGCUGAUCUCCACAAGAAUAACAUUUUCAAUGCCGAAAGAGAAGUUGAAAGGGGUUUUUCCAAUCAGAAUUUGGUGAGUAAUAUGAUAGGCCCAAAGAACCCCCGAGCAUCUCAUCUACCCAAAGGCCUUUGGCUCGAUCAAGCUUGGUCUUUAGAUCCAGCAAAAUAAAGCAGUUAAUUUACCUCCGCUUCUUUAUUGGCUUGAAGAUGACCCAUCAAGAUGAACUAGUGGUCAAUAUCGAGUUUGGAGCAAAAUUCUUUCAACCAGGUAUUGUCGAACUGUCAGUCGUUGUCGGUGAUAAGAAUUUAGAGAAUUCCGAACCAAUAAAUUAUGGACUUUCAAACAAAACUCCGAGCAUUCUCCUCGGUGAUUUGAG
rnacentral:lncRNA from 1 species